rnacentral:lncRNA from 1 species
GAGAUGUUUCGAAUGGGUUUCUUAUUUCUCGGUCCCUUUUAUUUCCUCCUCCUCCUCCUCCUCCGAUCUCAAGGGAGCGCAGUUCCGAAUCCGGGAGCGUUGUUUAAUGGGUCGGGCCUUGGUUGGAUGAGAACAAAACAAAGUGGUAGAACCUACCGCGGGGACCCCACUCGGAACCCAAGUGGCAACAUGACCCCUCUUCGCUAAUGCGUGGGUCCAAGGACUGAUUGCUUGUGUCCAUCUUCGGGUUCUUUUCUCAGGUCUCUGUGGAUGCCAUAAAGGGAUGGUUCUACGACGAGGACACAGCGUUGACCGAGAUGGGAAGGGGAAAGAAUAAAGAAAGGCAAGGACUUCCGGAGCUGGAGGAUGAUGGUCGAAUUUUUGCACUGCUAAUAUGGAUUCUGCCUAAGCCUGCCCCAUCGUUGUCUUGUGAUUAAAUAAAUAGAAUGACUUUUUAUACUUUUUCCGUGCCAUUGGAGUGGGAAGACAGGCUCUUCAAAUCAAGCCUUAAGAAAAUAAUUUAGACACUGGUGGAAGAGAUGGAUGGUUGCUUCUUUGAAACCCUCGGAAGCAAGCUUAGUUGACAUGGAGUACUAGAAUGUUUUGCAUUUAAUGAGCCACUAAGAUUGAUGCUAAUUCUCGUGGAUUGUAUGUGAUAAUGAAGGACCGUUUCUUU